rnacentral:rRNA from 1 species
UACGUAGGGGGCAAGCGUUGUCCGGAUUUAUUGGGCGUAAAGAGCUCGUAGGUGGUUCGGUAAGUCGGAUGUGAAAUCUCCAGGCUCAACCUGGAGGGGUCAUUCGAUACUGCCGUGACUAGAGUUCGGUAGGGGAGUGUGGAAUUCCUGGUGGAGCGGUGAAAUGCGCAGAUAUCAGGAGGAACACCCGUAGCGAAGGCGGCACUCUGGGCCUAUACUGACACUGAGGAGCGAAAGCGUGGGGAGCGAACAGG